ensembl:lncRNA
CUUUUCAAGAGAGAGUGACAGAGGGGUAUAGUGGGGGAGUAGGGGGAGGAGAGCUCCCCAAGGGUCCUCAACAACACCUGAAGGAGAAGGUGUGGCUCGACUGCUAGGUUGUUAAGAUGGUGUAUAAAUAGGGAUUGAAGAGGACUGUGGAUAGGAAAAUGGAGAAAAACGGAUUACUGGGGAUUUUUAAAAGGUAGGUAACAGGCAACAACAGGUAACACCUCACCCGACUCAAGGCAAAGAGGAGAAUAAAGGCACAAGGUGAGUCCGUGUUCAUUCAUGUUGUAGGAAGCCACCCUCUGAAAUGAUCUGCAUGGACCCCCCACGUGUGAACAUGUAGGAAUCCCCCGGGCUACGUUCUGCAGCAAUCAUUUUGAAUGAUCCUCAAAUAAGAGAAGGAAAAACACACUCCACGAAUCCUUCCUCCGCUACAUCUCUAGGUGAAGGUAUGAGGAUUCUCCGGGUUUCCCUGCUGGCCUUAUCAGAGGGGAGAAGCCUUGCUGUAUCCCCAUCUACACAGAAGAAGACCUCCUUUGGCCUCUGUGAUGCCAAGGGUGCCAGUCCCAGAGUGUUGCGGUGCCUCCAGGGUUCAAACUAGAUAACAGCUCGCUGGGGUGGGGGAUGGGGGCAGCUUGCCUUGUCAGUUGAAUAGGAAAAGCUGUGCGAAUUAGAAUCACAGAGGGCUUGUCUACCCUCCCUCCAGCCCCCCCCUUCUUUCAUUCCCAGAGCCUGAAUGCAAAUGAGUAUUUCUACAGUCUGAAGCCUAGAUCUUCCUCGGCAGUGGGGCUCUGCCCUGCUGGGAGCUGUUGGGAGUUGGACAUAGCUGCCUGUGAAGGAUCUGCUCUGGCCUGGACACGAGCUCCAUUUCAUCUGGAGCACUGUCGUUCAUGUCAUCUGCCCCAGUUCCCCCAGGGUUUUGGCGACAUACGCUGGCGACAUACACACAACUUUGUGUUGUGUAAGGGAACUCCUCUCUUUCUCUCCACAGAUCUUGCUGGUGUCUGCAAUCUGUUCUGGGUUAUUCCCUGCCCUGCUCUGUGGUAUAUGGAAUAUGUUCUGUGGUUGGCAAGGAUCUCUCGCAUGACUAGGGCUUUGCGCUCGAAAGGCUACUACUGUCCCCUAGAGAGGCACCAGAGGAAGCCACACCGGGAUUGCCUGGAGUGCCCACUGUGGCUGAGAUGGAGCUCUCUCCUUAUCUACACUUGUAAUAAUAGCCACACAACACAGUUGUUUACUCGGUGGCUACCACAUCACAAGCAUUGGACCAGGUAUUCUACCCAUGAAAUCUUUUUAGUCAUCACAGCAACCUGUGGAAUUAGUGUGACCAGUCCCAAGAGCUGGGUCACGGGACAGGGUAGGUGAUCUCCUGAAAUUGCAUAUCCAGGAAAUGGCCAAGCUGGAAUUUGAGCCCGGUUGGUUGGUUCCAAAGCCUCUGUUCUUUUUACCACACUCAACACACAAAUGCAAUUUCUUUUGUCAUUAGCCUGGUGAUUUUCCCUUCAAAAAGACACAGCGGAUGCUGAUUUUGCCUUUAUCAGCAGCUGGUCCUGGACCCAGAGCUGGAAAUCAGUCUUGGGAUACAGGGAACUGAUGUUGAAGAGGGCAAAACAUCUCUUUGAUUACUGAAUGCGCAGGUCACUUACAAGAGUGGACGCCUCAUCAGAAACCCUCGGGUCUGAGAGGACAUCUGUUUCUAGGAGUGUAGAGGGUGUAAACAGAGCAGGAGCCAGCCACUCUCCUGGUUGAGGUUUUGUAUUUGCUGUUUUGUAUUUCUAACACGAUUCUCCACUAAAAC